GGGGAUGUAGCUCAUAUGGUAGAGCGCUCGCUUCGCAUGCGAGAGGUACAGGGUUCGAUUCCCUGCAUCUCCA
rfam:Picea glauca, whole genome shotgun sequence.